rnacentral:rRNA from 1 species
UGGGGAAUUUUGGACAAUGGGCGCAAGCCUGAUCCAGCCAUGCCGCGUGCGGGAAGAAGGCCUUCGGGUUGUAAACCGCUUUUGUCAGGGAAGAAAUCUUCUGAGUUAAUACCUCGGGAGGAUGACGGUACCUGAAGAAUAAGCACCGGCUAACUACGUGCCAGCAGCCGCGGUAAUACGUAGGGUGCAAGCGUUAAUCGGAAUUACUGGGCGUAAAGCGUGCGCAGGCGGUUUUGUAAGACAGAGGUGAAAUCCCCGGGCUCAACCUGGGAACUGCCUUUGUGACUGCAAGGCUUGAGUGCGGCAGAGGGGGAUGGAAUUCCGCGUGUAGCAGUGAAAUGCGUAGAUAUGCGGAGGAACACCGAUGGCGAAGGCAAUCCCCUGGGCCUGCACUGACGCUCAUGCACGAAAGCGUGGGGAGCAAACAGGAUUAGAUAGCCCUGGUAGUCCACGCCCUAAACGAUGUCAACUAGUUGUUGGGGAUUCAUUUCCUUAGUAACGUAGCUAACGCGUGAAGUUGACCGCCUGGGGAGUACGGUCGCAAG